rnacentral:lncRNA from 1 species
AGCUUCUGAGGCUGCGCAGGGGGAGAAAAGGGUUAGGGGGUCGAGCCCUGACUUCGCCUCCUCUUCCAAGAAGCCUUCCCAGACACUCAGCUGUAAAACCAGACGGACGUCCUCCGAUAAAAUUGUUUCUACGUAGGGCCGGCUUCACCGGCUUGGAAUCCGCUUAGAAGGGUCUUCGCGCUUGGUUGAAUGUUCUGCAAUUGCUGUCUUGAAAUUUUUAGUUUUUGAGCAUGGGGCCCCUUAUUUUCACUUUGCACUAGGCCAAAUAUGUAGCCGGUCUUGCUGCUAAGAGUCUGAGAUCCAUUGCAUUCCAAAUUCUGGAAUUAUAAGACCCUGGGUGGAAGAUUCUAUGCUUUGACCAGAAGAGAGUCUAAGCAGCUUUUGUCUCCCAGGUGCUAGGAGGUUGUGUGCUCAUCAUUCUUCCAUUCCAGGGGCCUUUGUUCUACGUUCUAAGGGGCUUUGUUCUCAGCCUUCUAUGAUGCUCUAUUCUCAACGUUCUCUGGUCCUAGGAGUCUGAGCCUGACAUUCGUUUCCAAGGCUUCCCACUGUCUCCAGGCUCCGCGAGCAGGACUGGGGCACCCUCAGGCGGCCAACCUGUGUCACUACGCCGAGCCUGCCUCUACCAACUUCCAAGACCUAGCUCUAAUAUUCACACUCAUCUCUCAGACAGACCUUGGCUCCCUAAAAGCCAAGGCCCAGAAGAUCAUACGAGAUAUUCCCUCUUUUAUGAUUCCGCGUGCACGAAGUGACCUUCUGGUGGUGAGAUGGAGAGAAAUUGAUAGUGGCGACAGACAGCAAAGUCUCCAGGAGCCAGACUUCCUCGGGGGUAUGUUGCCCAAACUGGACUCGAACUCCUAGACUCCAGCGAUCCUCCCACCUCAGCCUCUUAAGCAGCUGGGAAUACAGUCACCUGCCACCAUGCCCAGCUUUCAGGUAGGUCUUUGCAGCACGUAAGUCAGAGCGUGCUGAAAGUCUGAAGAAAACUUGUUCAGGUGCAUGUUCGGAUCGUUUGCCUUCAGCUGUGGAAGCUUGAGGACCAUGUGUUAGGGUGUUAUUGGAGAACUGGGGAGCUGGAGGGCUGGAGUCAAAGGUAGAGAGAGGUGGAUACGUGUUCCCUCCAGUUCGUUCCUUCCGCCUUCAGUCUUUCAACGCUAAGAUGAAGCUUCAGAGGUCUUCUCUGACUACCCACCCUCUCUGACCCCUGAGCUCAUUCUAGGCUGCCCAAGCCUCCCAAACUCCCCCAAUCCAGCCCUUCCCAUUCUGGGUCAUCACUGUCCAGGGGCAGGUAAGUCUCUCCACUGGAUGGCGAACCCCAUGAAGGGCAGUCCUUGGCUGUCUCAGUCACCACUGUGUCCCCAGCAUCACCCAGCUCGGUGAGACAAAUGAAUUAAUAUAUACUUCUCUAUAUAUGAAAUAUAUAUCACAUCACAUCAAAAUAAAAUAAAAUACUAAAUGUUGCAUAUCAGUUUUCUAGUAUGGAUCAGACGUGGGCUAACUGCAUUUUAUUUAUUUUUGAGACAGGGUCUCUUCUCUUGCCCAGGCUAGAGGGCAGUGGCGUGAUCUUGGCUCACUGCAAUCUCUGCUUCCUGGGGUCAAGCGAUCCUCCAGCCUCAACCUCCCAAGUAGCUGGGACCACAGGGGCAAGCUACCACACCUGGCUGGCUAAUUUUUGAACUUUUUGUAGAAAGGGAGUUUCGCCAUGUUGGUCAGGCUGGUCUCAAACUCCUGAGAUCUAAGGGAUCUGCCUGC